rnacentral:rRNA from 1 species
AUUGAACGCUGGCGGCAUGCUUUGCACAUGCAAGUCGAACGGUAACAGGUUAAGCUGACGAGUGGCGAACGGGUGAGUAAUGCAUCGGAACGUGCCCGGUCGUGGGGGAUAACGCAGCGAAAGCUGCGCUAAUACCGCAUACGAUCUGAGGAUGAAAGCGGGGGACCGUAAGGCCUCGCGCGAUCGGAGCGGCCGAUGUCAGAUUAGGUAGUUGGUGGGGUAAAGGCUCACCAAGCCAACGAUCUGUAGCUGGUCUGAGAGGACGACCUGCCACACUGGGACUGAGACACGGCCCAGACUCCUACGGGAGGCAGCAGUGGGGAAUUUUGGACAAUGGGCGAAAGCCUGAUCCAGCAAUGCCGCGUGCAGGAAGAAGGCCUUCGGGUUGUAAACUGCUUUUGUACGGAGCGAAAAGGUCUCCUCUAAUACAGGGGGCUCAUGACGGUACCGUAAGAAUAAGCACCGGCUAACUACGUGCCAGCCGCCGCGGUAA